rnacentral:misc_RNA from 1 species
UUAAGUUCAGCGGGUAUUCCUACCUGAUCCGAGGUCAACAUUCAGAAAAAGUUGGGGGGUUUAACGGCUUGGCCGCGCCGCGUUCCAGUUGCGAGGUGUUAGCUACUACGCAACGGAGGCUGCAGCGAGACCGCCACUAGAUUUAGGGGCCGGCGCGUCCUCUGGCGAGGCCGUUUUGCCGAUCCCCAACACCAAGCCCG